rnacentral:rRNA from 1 species
AGGACGAACGCUGGCGGCGUGCCUAAUACAUGCAAGUAGAACGCUGAAGGAGGAGCUCGCUCUUCUGGAUAAGUUGCGAACGGGUGAGUAACGCGUAGGUAACCUGCCUGGUAGCGGGGGAUAACUAUUGGAAACGAUAGCUAAUACCGCAUAAGAGUAGAUGUUGCAUGGCAUUUGCUUAAAAGGUGCAAUUGCAUCACGUACCAGAUGAACCUGCGUUGUAUUAGCUA